GUAAAAUUUGUGCUGAGGUAAAACUUUCUUUCCUUGUUUCAUAAUAUUUUUGGACGUUAUUCUAUCUUUAUUGAUUAACUAAUUUAAUUUCUAAUUGCGAACUUGCUAUUUUAAAUGUUGAAUAUUUUGGAACUUUACCUCUAAAUGAAUUGAAUUCUAACCUUUUCGUUUCUAGGAUACUCAUAACUAUCUUCUUUAAGUUUUUCCAUGUAUUGAAUGCUGUUUUUACAGAGUUUUUUGGGAAAUAAAGUAUUGGUUAAUUUGUUAUCUAAAGCUGUUGCCCCAUUCUUUUAUUUGGGCUUGGUUUGACACUUGCAUCAUUUAAAACUUGGACAGUAUUUGCAAUGAAAUGUGUAUACAAUGCAUAUUUCGUGAAUUUGGAGACCAGUUAUGUACUCUUGUGGGGAUAAUUAUGUGUAUUUAUUUUGCAUCUCUUUAACAGUUCUCAUAUUUAAUUGCUUUGUUUUUUGGUCUAAACAUUGCGAGUCAUAAUGAAAUUUAUAUAUACUUGUUAUGUGCUGAUGAUUAUUCCUUGAACUGCUACACUUUUCACAAUGAAAUGGCCAAAAUUUAGACUAUUUUGUACCUUACUCUUGGAUUUUAUAGGAUGGGGGAUAGUUGCACAUGUUUAGGAAUUUGAGUUGUUUCUUGUGCUUAUCUAUUCUGUCUUGGUAACAAGAGGAACAUCCCAAAAGUUUAUAUUUCUGUUACAUUUGUAGGGUAUUUGUUGUACACUUGUACUUCAUGGUUGAGACAACUUGCUUGGACUUGGUCAUUGUAAUUUAUUAAAACUUGAAAUUGAAAUACCUAAGAGAUUAUAUUUGGCUUUAUGGGCUGUGUUCUCUGUUAGUAUUCGUCCAGCCAAGAAGGGAACUCAUUAUCCAUAUUGUGAUGGUAUUGUAUUAGCGUUUCUUGCGUUUUGAUAGGUUUUAUGUCAGAUUGCCAGAGAGCAUCUCUCUUUCCAAUGCCUGUUUGCAAGGGUGAAAAGUCAAUGUAUUGCAGUGUUCUUGCAUAUAGUCUUAGACAGUCAAGCCGAUUAUCUGUGGGGCCGUGAUUAAAAUGAAUAAAGCAAUUAUCCUAGUUUUUGAAGCAGAAAAGGAUAUUUAAUUUUUCUUGGAUCAUUUCCAUGUCUUCCAUUUAUGUUAUUGAUCUUUUUAUCAUUUUCCAUGUAGGCAGAAAAGGUUUUUAAUCAAG
rnacentral:misc_RNA from 1 species